CUUUCUUCUUCCUUCCCGAAGCUUCUCCCUUUCUUCUUCCAUUUCCACCGCGAUCUCCUCCCCCUCUUCUUCUCCUCUCCUCUCAUGAGGCAAGGAGGCUCGGGAGGGACGGGCAACGGCCGACGGCGCCCGGCACCCGGCCUACAGCGCCCACGGUCGCGCCCACGACCGUGCCUGCGGUCGUGCCCAUGGCCGCGUCGGCGUCCCACAUCCCACGGCCGACGACCCGCGGCUCGCAUCCCACGGCCAACGACCCACGGCGGAGGUCGGCGCCCACGGAUCGACCACCGGUUAAUAGUCUAAGACAGGAGCGGCAAAUUUUGGCCUCAUGCAGAUCCGUUACAAUUGUGACUGGUGCAAGUUCACUGAAAGAUCGGCACAGAACCCCCUCCCUCUUUUUCAGAUGAUGCUUGUUAAUAUGCAAGUAUUCUGUAUUUUGUUUGCAAGAUUUGGAGUCCAUGUUUAUAAGUUUUGGAUAUCCAGAUGUUUAUGAGCAUGACAGUUCUUUUGCAUCACACUGAAUCAGUUCAUAAGUAGUAAAGUGAAAAAAACAAUAUUCUGCACUACUGUUUUUUGUUGGAUCAGUUGCUGCAAGAUAACAAUAUACCUAGUUGUUACA